rnacentral:rRNA from 1 species
UACGAAGGGGGCAAGCGUUUUUCGGAAUUACUGGGCGUAAAGGGCGCGUAGGCGGCUUAUCAAGUCAGGCGUGAAAUUCCCGGGCUCAACCUGGGGGCUGCGCUUGAUACUGAUGAGCUUGAAUGCGGGAGAGGAUAGUGGAAUUCCCAGUGUAGAGGUGAAAUUAGUAGAUAUUGGGAAGAACACCGGUGGCGAAGGCGGCUAUCUGGCCCGUAAUUGACGCUGAGGCGCGAAAGCGUGGGGAGCAAACAGG